rnacentral:rRNA from 1 species
CCUACGGGAGGCAGCAGUGAGGAAUAUUGGUCAAUGGACGAGAGUCUGAACCAGCCAAGUAGCGUGAAGGAUGACUGCCCUAUGGGUUGUAAACUUCUUUUAUAUGGGAAUAAAACGUUCCACGUGUGGGAUUUUGUAUGUACCAUAUGAAUAAGGAUCGGCUAACUCCGUGCCAGCAGCCGCGGUAAUACGGAGGAUCCGAGCGUUAUCCGGAUUUAUUGGGUUUAAAGGGAGCGUAGGUGGAUUGUUAAGUCAGUUGUGAAAGUUUCCGGCUCAACCGUAAAAUUGCAGUUGAAACUGGCAGUCUUGAGUACAGUAGAGGUGGGCGGAAUUCGUGGUGUAGCGGUGAAAUGCUUAGAUAUCACGAAGAACUCCGAUUGCGAAGGCAGUUCACUGGACUGCAACUGACACUGAGGCUCGAAAGUGUGGGUAUCAAACAGGAUUAGAUACCCCGGUAGUC